UGGUUAGCUGUUGCAUGUACAUGUAGUUCAAAUUUGAAUUACGGUCAUUAAAUGGCUAGAAAAUCACUUACAUCUAUCUACUACCCCUAUAAAAGCACGAGAGGGCGGAGAAUCAAAUCAUCCUAUCCAUCGAAACCUGCAAUCCAAUGGUCUACAUCCCUCUAGCAUACUGAACGUGUUUUAUGCUUUAAUUACCCAUCAUGCCAUUGGUUUAAUCCAUCGAUCUGACCCGCUGCCAUUCGAAAAAAAAAACUGCCAACAAAGCACCCACGCACGCACGCACGCACGCCGAGUUCGCCGCCCCGCCGCCCCCCGCCCCCCGUCCUCCCUGUGUCGUCGCCGCCCGCCGUUCUCUCCUCCCGUGUCUCCUGCCGCUUGCCCCACAUCGUGGUGCGCCAUGGGUGCCAUCCAGAUCGAGCACGGGGCACGGGCACGAGAGGCGCCGCGCUCCCUUCGCUGCACCGCUCUGCUGAGCUCGAAUCGUCUGCCCGUGGCUGCAAUUUCCAGGCGUCUUGCUUCUUCUUGCUUUGGAUCCCUAGCUAGCGAGUCCGUUUCUUCCUCUGAAUUUCUCUGCAUUCACUAGCAAGCAACACUUUGAUUUAGCUGUAGCCAAUUCAGACGGUGGGUGGUACAGAUCACUAGCUAGCCGAGUCUGCUUCUUCCUCUGAAUUUCUCCUCAUUUACUAGCGAGAUAUAGUGUGAUUCUAGAAAAAACGUAUUAACGAGAUGAAGCUUGUGAUUUCUGAAGUAAACAAUACGGGCUAGAUUUUACUCCAAUUUCUUGUGCAAAUUUCAUUUUGAUACAUGUAGAGCAGCGGCGACAGCUCCGACGCAACGGGCUUGGCCUGCGUCAGCGGCGGCGGGUUCCAUCUCCUCCCUCGAGCAGCGGUGGUGGCGUGGGACACAGCGGGCUCGGCCGCGAAGAUGGAUUUCUCCGGCGGAGCAUUUUAAAAUGCUGAUGUGCCGAUGAAUCCUCGCCACUGUUCCUCGACCUCGCGUCAGGGACGCAUACGCAUAUGCCCCUGCGGCCGUUCCUCCUCGUGGUCAGUGACGCAAAGCCGAUGACACAGAAGCCGCUGCCGUUGUUCCUCUACGCGACGGUGAUACACACGGCGUUGAACCAUAGAAAGCGAGCACACAAAGAUGCAGAGGCAACCAGUCCAAAGGAAUAAGUAAGGUAAUGUGUUUCCAGUAUUCCUAAAAUAAAUGAAGUAAUGGUGUGAUUAACACUAACAUUGAUGUUCCCCCUCUUCUAUAUAAAAUGAUACACACACUCGUGCGUAUUCGAGAAAAAAAAAACACUAACAUUGAUGGAUCAGUCGUUUCUGUUGAAAAAAUCAUCAGACUCUGUUAAGCCAGAUUCCAUUCAUUUUGCUUUUUAGCUCUGCAAACUGUGCAUCUUGACUGUCUAGCACAUCAUAUGGUUAUGUCAAGUGUCGCUGCAAAGAAAUGUCGCCGGUAACAAUGAUUAAAGUUCCAGUUCCCUGAUAGUGUAUCUUACCACAUUCAGUUUUGGUAGCUAUAAUGGGAGAAAUGGAGUCUGAGGAUGGUGUGGAUUGUGCAUUAUUCCCUUUCCCACUAAUGAUUUUGCCAGUCAAACUUGGGAUGUGAUCAAGAAGGUGGGAAGCAACAUAGUUUUAGUGGCGGUGCUAUUGUUAAGUGCACCAGAAUUUAGCAACAAAAACAAUGCAGGAACAGUUUGAAUAUCUUAGUUCGCACUUCUGGGCAGUGAGUCCGGCACUUGGACGAGACUCCAAACUUCAAAUUCUCAUAGCUCCAAAUUAUUGGACACAACCUGAUUUAUAAGUUAUCUUAAAUUCCAACUUAUGUGAUGUAGACAAUCUAAAAUCAUUACUUCUUUCGUAGGGAACAUAUAUUGGUGUUUGAUGAGGCAGAUCAAAUUCGUCAUCGUGAUUUGCAAUCCCAUGUUGACUAUCAUUUCUCUGAUUCCCAAAGUUAGACCAGCUUUACAGUUUUUUGUUACAUAGACAAAGUCACUUAAGGAACUAGCAAGCAUUAGCUUGAAGAUUUCUGACCAUUUAAGUGUGCAUGAACAGGCUACCAUGGCCACCCCAGAUACCCUUGAAGCGGUGUGCCAUGAUCGUCCUCUUGAACUAUAUGCUUUGGAAUUUUAUCAGAAGGCAUCUGAAGUAAAAAUAGUAGGAAGGCUCGAACUUGCCCAUCUUCUAAUUUAGUGUUGCUCACAUUUAGUCUUAUCCAUGACAGAUUACCACACGAAAUGUUCAAGUUGGACAAAUAACACAAUGGGUAUCAUCAUUUAGCCUACAAUUUUGUAUCUUCUCCUGCAAUUUUAGUGUGCGAGUUUAGUAUCAUCUCCAGAUUAUUUGACAAAUUAUCUAGGGAUCUGGAGAUAUCAUUUAGCUCUUAAAGCAGGUGAUUAGAACUUACACCAAACCUUUCUUUGUUGAUGUUGUUAUUCUUGCUUGUUGGCACAUUUGGAAACAAAGAAAUGGUUUCAUUCUCAAGGACUAGGGUUCUUCAGUAGUAGUAAUCUAAAUAUUACUCCCUCCGUUCCUAAAUAUAAGUCUUUUUAGAUAUUCCAGUAUGGACUAUAUACGGAGCAAAAUGAGUGAAUCUACACUCUAAAGUAUGUCUAUAUACAUCCGUAUGUAGUCCUUGUUGAAAUCUCUAAACAGACUUAUAUUUAGAAAUGGAGGGAGUAGUUUGUAAAAAAAUUCUGGGUGGUGAAGUCGUGAAGAUACAUGUCUCCCUGUUGUCAUCUUUUAAAUAUUUUUUGCAGUAGUCAUCAUCUAAAUAUUAUUUUGUAAAUUUUUGUCAUCAUUUUAAACACGAAGCCCAGUGGGGGUAUUUUCUCCGUAGUUCACUUAUUAUUUUUUCAUGGCUAUGCUGAGUGCAGCACUGCACUCGAUUCUGAAAUAUUUAAUGUGAAAACAUAUUGUAUUUGGGUUGGCGCCAUCAUUCUAUGGAAUUGUUUACAAAGACAUGAUGUUGGAUAAUGUGGAAAUGGAUUGCUGCCCUGACUUGCAUUGGCAACUUGCGAAACUUCGAAACAGCAGACAGGAAGCAACAAAAUAGUUGUUGGUCUGACAAAUUUAAUAAAAAUUGAGAGUAGUGCUGCUGUUAGUCUACCAUUCAAGGGCAUGAUCAUAACCAAUGUACUGUUAAUAGGCUUGUAAAUCAUUUUUAUUGAUUAUUUUGUAUUAGUCGAGAGUUCGAGACAUGCAUUGCACAAGAAGACAAGGCAUCAUGGUGUAUAUAUAAGUAUGCAUCAAAUGUUCAUAUCUAUAAUAUUCUGAUUGCUUUUCCAUCUUUGGGGUACUAUUGUUGUAUUAGGACUUUCAUAUGAACCUCUGAUUCUUUUUUACCGCUUUCUGCUUUGAGUCAGGUCAUGCCAGUUCAUCCAACUGUUCACGCUCAACUAAGUCUUGCAUUGAAAUUUGCAAGUAACCUUGCUUCAACAGAAGAGAAUUGGGUGAUGGACGUGAUAUCAACAUGGUUAUGGACUACCAUGUAUGUUCAUAAAUAUGUACACCCUUCGGGGUCGGGCCCACCGCCACCGCGGACUAGGCCGGCGGCAGCGGCGGCAGGAGGGGAGACGAGAGAGACACUAGGAUUGGGGUCCCCUGGCGUCGCCCUAGGGAGGCGACGCGAGAGGGUGAGGAGACGCAACUUGGAACAUGGUAAUUUCUGUUUAGGCUCUUACCUUUUGUAUUUGCACAAUGGUUGAUUUCCAUUUGGAAUGUUCAGGUACAUAAAGUUAGAGUAGUGGAGUAAAGCUUAAGAUUUUUUGUAUGAAUAAUUCCUGAGAUGAGAAAGCUUAUACAUGGAAUAACUCGGUUUCUUGAUCUGUACAUAAAAUAUGUGUGAUAUUUGAUUCAAGAGGAGUAUUGAUUCAUGAAGAUAAGACAUGCAUUGCGCAAGAAGACAAGACAACAUGGUGUAUAUAUAAGUAUGCAUCAAAUAUUCAUAUCUACAAUAUGGUGAUUGCUUUUCCAACUUUGGGGUGCUAUUGUUGUCUUAGUACUUUCAUAUGAACCUCUGAUUCUUUUUUACCGCCUUCUGCUUUGAGUCAGGUCAUGCCAGUUCAUCCAACUGUUCACGCUGAACUACAUAUUGCAUUGCAAUUUUCAAGUAACCUUGCUUCAACAGAAGAGAAUUGGGUGAUGGACAUGAUAUCAACAUGGUUAUGGACUACCAUGUAUGUUCAUAAGUAUGUACACCGUUUGGCGUCGGGCCCGCCGCCACCGCGGACUAGGCCGGCGGCAGCGGCGGCAGGAGGGAAGAUGGGAGGGACCUGGCGGCACUAGGGUUGGGGUCCCCUGGCGUCGCCCAAGGGAGGCGACGCGAGGGGGUGAGAAGACGCAACUUGGAACAUGGUAAUUUCUGUUUAGGCUCUUACCUUUUGUAUUUGCACAAUGGUUGAUUUCCGUUUGGAAUGUUCAGGUAUAUGAAGUUAGAGUAGUGGAGUAAAGCUUAAGAUUUUUUUGUAUGAUUAAUUCCUGAGAUGAGAAAGCUUAUACAUGGAAUAACUCGGUUUCUUGAUCUGUACAUAAAAUAUGUGUGAUAUUUGAUUCAAGAGGAAUAUUGAUUCAUGAA